CGAUAAUUAUAUCCGUUUGGAGCCUACGCAGAAUAGCUUGAAUUGCAUGCUAUAAAGACAGAGGCUAUAGCAGAAAUGCAGUCAUAUUCUGCAACCGCGUCCUGAUUUUUGAGCCGUUUAGUGGAGGCUUUAGUGGAUCUACUGGCAGAAAUGCACGCACUCGAGGUGUUUUUUUCUUAACCUAAUAGCAAAUCCUGAUAUCAUGACUUAGUAAAAACCGGCCAGGUUGGUUGAAAAGAUCAAGGAUGUGGAUGUCACUGAUUGGAUUUAUUGCAUAUUCCUCGUUGCCCUUAAGACGAUGGUAGUGAGCUGUCUUUCUGAAUGAUGCAGUCCAUAACAGAACUCGGUCACAGUGUCAGCAUCGGCAGGAGUGAAUGGACCUAGCACAGACCUGAGUGGGCCCAGAAGCGUGGACAUAGCAAUGGCAUCAGUGGAGAGUUUGGGUUCCCACAGCUCCUGCAUCAUUGAGAUGGUCCUAACGCCAACUGAUGGCUGCUGCUGCAGAGAGGAGUUUGGGUUCCCAGUGGCAUCUGCAUGUAGUGCAGAUUCAUGGAGAUGGAGGCAAGUUUGGGCCCGUAGGAGACCCAGUGGCAUUAGCAGCAUCUGCAUCGGUGAGGUGGUCCUGAAGUGGAAUCAUGGUGGCAACAGUCAAAUUUGGGCUGGUUUGCAGCAUCAGUGUCAUGUACAUUGGCAAGGUCCAGCUAGGACUCAUAGUGGUGAGGAUAUUAGUGGAGGCAAGACGACGCUGAAGAGUGGUCACUUUCAUUCCUGUGGCGGUGACGUGCCGAAGGGGUCUCAUACCUGGCCACCAAGCCCAUGGCCCAUGACUGAGAAAUUAACAUGAAAGACUGAAAAGUUGGACACUGUGCUUAUUCAUUUUUCUGCCUUUAUAUUCAAUUAUUU